rnacentral:rRNA from 1 species
UCUCGGGAUAUAUUAUAUAAUAAGGGGGGUUGUAGCUGGCCUAUCCCAAAUAGGUAUGUGCACACCCUUGAACCCCCCCGGGAUUGUCUACAAUGUUUUACACACCAUGUGCACAUCUGUAGCUGAGGGAUGAUUUUUACGGAGUUGCCAUUAAUUUUGGUGACUCUGAAUGCCCUCGCUAUGUUCAUAUAUAUUAUAUACACAUAUAAAUGUCAUUUGGAAUGUUUUGUGUCUAGCGUGUAACAGCGCGCGAAUGCAAUACAACUUUCAGCAACGGAUCUCUUGGCUCUCGCAUCGAUGAAGAACGCAGCGAAAUGCGAUAAGUAAUGUGAAUUGCAGAAUUCAGUGAAUCAUCGAAUCUUUGAACGCACCUUGCGCUCCUUGGUAUUCCGAGGAGCAUGCCUGUUUGAGUGUCAUGAAAUUCUCAACUGCUUUGGAUUUUGUUUCAAAGUGAAGUUGGAUUUGGAGUUGCUUAUUGUCGGCAUUGUUCGACUGCUCCUAAAAGCAUUUAAAGCCUGUGUUCUGAUAGAUUCUUGGCAUAGUUGACGUGAUAAC